GGCGGAUAGGAACGCUGGUGCGUUCGGCGGCCUCAUAAACCGCAGCAGGUGGGUUCGAUUCCCACAUCCGCCACC
rnacentral:tRNA from 1 species